UAACACUUCAUUCACGUGGUCCACAUAUCGGCCGUCUUCCAAAAUGUCACUGGGAUGAUCAGCAUGUCUCUCAUCAAUCAUACUCCUUUCAUCGGCACAUCCUAUUUCGGAAUACCAUUCCUCUAUAGACGAAGAUACAGAGGUUGAACAUGUGGGGGAGUUUGCUUCAUCAUUGGAGGUUGAAUGAGAAAUCGCUCGACGACGAGGCCCUAUGCAAGACCAAGAGGACAGGUUAAGACUUGGACGCAUCCAUGCUGCCUGAGCCAUACUUUUGGCCCUCCUCAUAACCACCUAUAGUUGUUCAAAAUUCAGAAACUGGAGAAAAAAAGUGCUUGCAUUUCCAGGUAUCCUAUAUCGGUAUUUGGCGGAUUCGUUCAAUUUCAAACCAAAUAUAUGACUGAUGAAGCGAGCAUGCAAGAGAUGUUUUCAAUGUAUAUUGAAAGUCGUGCUCAGAUGCCGUCCAUUGAGUUGUAUAUUGAGUUUGAACAAUUUGAGGCCGACCGAAAUAUUGAACGGGAAGAUUACAAUAGUGACAGUGAAGAAGAGUUUGAAAGCAAUUACGAAGUUGUUGGUCCAGAGGGAGACGAAGUUUAAGGUGACGGCACUAUAGAGAAAAAUGUGACAGACGUGACAAAUACAUUGGCAAACGAACAUCCGUUUGAGGAGACAUCUUUCAUGCGAGCUUUGGAUUUGAAAACCAUGCAUGAUCCAGAGUUUCCUGAAUAUAUGAAUGCAGAUGGUGACUUUGUCGUGGGAAUGGAAUUCAGUUCCAGGGAAGCUGUUAUUAUGGUGAUGAAAGAUUAUGUUAUCCGAAGAGGUGUAGACUACCGGGUGUAUAAGUUGGAGCCAUUGACAUUUUAUGCCAAGUCUACGCAGUAUGGGUUAGGUUGUGAUUGGCUUAUCAGGGUUAGCAUGAUCAGCAGAAAGUACUGUUGGGUUAUAAGGAGGUAUAAUGGUAGUCACACUUGUACCAGAGCAACCAUUUCUCAGGAUCAUUCGAAACUAGAUUCAAACACAAUUGUAGAAGCGAUAAAGCCGUUGGUUGAGGCUGACCCCUAGAUAAAGGUGAAAUCAGUUAUUGCGGAAGUGCAGUCAAAGUUCAAUUACACCAUCAGCUAUCAAAAAGCAUGGUUGGCUAAGCAAAAGUCAGUGAAAAAAAUAUUUGGAUAUUGGGAAGUAUCGUACGAAACUUUGUCUAUAUGGUUUGAGGUCAUGUGUCAUAAGGAGCCAUCAGCAGUCGUCCAUUUUGAGACUACGCCUGCAUAUCAAGGCAAUGACUUGGUUAUUAAUAUCCAGGUGUUGAAUCGAGCCUUCUGGAGUUAUUACCCAUGUAUUAGAGCAUUCAGACAUUGUAAACCAGUUGUCCAGGUGGAUGGGAUCCACUUGUACGGAAAGUAUAAGGGUUUUCUGUUGGUUGCAGUUUCACAAGAUGGUAACAACAGUAUCGUCCCAAUUGCAUUUGCUAUUGUGGAGGAAGAGAGUUCUGAUGCGUGACACUUUUUUCUUAGUAACCUACGACAACAUGUAGUGACUCGGGAUGGUGUGGGACUGAUCUCUGACUAACAGAAAUCCAUCAAUGCAGUUGUGGCCCAUAGUAACAGAGCUUAGUCGUUUCCUAGAGCUUUUCACAUGUUUUGCAUCAGGCAUAUAGAGUCAAAUUUUUUGAGAAAGUUCAAGGUACCAUACCUACAAAAACUUGUCGUCAAUAUAGGUAACAUCGAGUAAUUCGAAGUUCAUAAUUAACGGAGUUAUCUUUAUACAGUGUUUCUUAUUUAUUUUUUUCUUUGUUUUUUCUUAUUGCGUAGGAUAUUUGAGGACAGUCCGCGAGUAUGAGUUGCGUUACCAGCGUUUACGAGAACGGGGCGAGACUUACACUAACUGGUUAAGCCGAAUACCCCACAAACAUUAUUUAUUGGCAUUCGAUGGUGGUUACUGAUGAACGUCACAUGACCACGAACUUAGUGGAAUGCAUCAACUCAGUCUUGAAGGGUGCACGCAAUCUCCCUAUCAUUGCACUUGUGAAAAUAACAUUCUACAGGCUUAAUGAGUUGUUCACACGAAAAAGAGUCGAGGCGGAGGCUUGGAUUAAUGCUGGACAUGUUUUUUAUGAGCUUGUGACCUCAAAUUGCAUGCAAAUCAACUUGCAUCAGGAAACAUCCAAGUUAAUUGCUUUGACAAACAAAAUGAGGUCUUUGAAGUGCAUGAGAUGCCAAGUGGGAUGGAGUAUGCCGUCAACCUCUGUCGAUACCGAUGUGACUGUGGUAAGUUCCAGGUAGACCGAAUUCCUUGUCGACAUGUGUUUGCAUGUUAUGCGAAUCAACGGCUAGAUUGGCAAGUGUAUGUACAUGAUGUUUAUAAGAUGGAUCAAGUUCAACGUGUAUACCGAGCCAGGUUUAAGCCACUAGGGAAUCCUACUACAUGGCCUGCUUAUAACGGGCAUCGAUUCGUGCCAAAUCCGUUCCUGAGACAUGUUACCAAAGGUCGCCCAAGGAUGACGCGUUUCUUGAAUGAGAUAGACACGCGAAUGUUACGUGGUCCUAGGCAGUGUAGGCAAUGUGGGACCGAGGGCCACAGCCGUAGUAGAUGCCGUCAAUCCAGAGGUGCAAGUGCAAGCAGCAAUGCUCAGUAGAGUUAUGUAUUUUACAUUUUAUCCAAGUACUCGAUGAAUCAAACAACAAAAAAGUAAAC